CGUGGUUAGGUUUGCAACAAGUGGACCAGAAGGAUAAAGCUGAUUUGUCGAGAGAAGGAUUAAGUGCGCAUUAGUAACGUCGAUAGAGAUGAGCAAUCCUCAACUGCUACUUUCAAGACAUUAUAGUACCAGGCUGAUGACUUUCAAGUAUUGUAUUCAGCUUCUGUGUCACUAUGCAUAAUGUGGCUAGCUUAUCACAGGCAUCAGUAUCUCUUUGUUGGUUGCAGGCAAUUGAUCUCACCUCAUUUAGAAACUCCGGGCCGGGGUAUGAUUCGACUGCUUUCUUCUUUUCAGAGCUUCAGCAGCCAAGGCAACCAACCUAGCUUCAGUGUUUGCUACUAAUGCUACUGCUGAUGAACAAUUUGAUG
rnacentral:lncRNA from 1 species